AAUGCCGCAUCCAAGUGAGUGAGAGAGUUAGUGAGAGAGGGAAACACUUCUACGAGCCUACGUUCUUUGUUAAUGUUAAUAUCUACAGAGGCAACGCCUUUUUGUUUAAGUACCUUGACACCAAAGCUGGCCAUUUCCACCCGCAAACAGUCGGCAAAUGCCUCCAGACCUCGCUUGGAAACGCUGUAGCUUCCCAUAUUCAGGCAGUUGAAGAAGGAAAAGAUGCUCGACACGAAAACCAUCCUCCCUGCGCACGUACCAAAGGUAAGAAGGCCACAGUCGUCCUGAUGCAGCCAAAGAGGUUAAUGUCCACCAUGUGGCGAAAGUCUUCAAUUGUGCUCCACUCUAUCUCCGCCCAAUCUGAGAUGCCAGCGUUGUUAACCACUGCCCACAGGCCUGUGGAGAAGCAGAAUUUUUCAUCUUUCUGUAAAAAUGAGCACAUCGACUGUGGAUUCAAAAACUGUCUUUUUUUUGGCUGUGCUCCAUUUCAAGAUUUAAGAAAUCAAUAAAAUUCAAUUCUCAAUUACACGAGCACGUUUUUAUUAAUUUCACCUUUUUCUGGUAGGUUCUCUUUGACAAUCCUCAUAGCCUGCUGCACUUCUUCAUCACUGGUCACGUCCAGUUUGAGAAUUUUCAAACGACUAGAGCACUGUCCAGCCAGGUUCUGGGCACCCAUUCCUCUGGGAAACAAACAGCCAGCAAAGACCACAAACCCCUUCUGGUCCAAGCAUCGAGCCAGCUCAUAUCCAAAGCCGCUGUCACAGCCGGUAAUCAGCACGGCAGAGCCGUGAGCAUCUAAUGGAGGAGUGCAGUACCUUCGGGAUAUAAGUUUACCAAAUGCAAGCAACAGGAUGGC